AUCAAUCGUCUUUGUCUUUGUUUCAAAAAGAAAAAAAAUUUAAAAUUGUCUCUGUCGUGUUUUUUCGCAGUCUGUAUCAUCUUCAGAUUCUUCAGUUUAUCCGAAGACUUUUUAUUACUUCGUUUGAUUCCCAAUAAACCGUAGCAAAAUGAAGGAAUCAGGAGGAUCUUUUCAUUUUCAUACAUUUUCUCUGCAACCAGACGGAUGCAGUAAUUUCCAUUUAAUUUAAUUUAAUUACUUAAAAUCCCAUAACUCUUUCAUGUGUCUUCUACUUCUCAAGAUUCCAGCCGGCGCUCCUCCAAUUUUGACCUCAUUCUCUUGGACUCUUUUCGUUGAUCCUGGGUUCUGUAGGGUUUUUAUUUGAACUUAACAGCUAUAUCGAUUCCGUGAUUGAUUGAAUUGAUAAGUCGAGAAAGUGAAAAUGGCCGCUGUGGAUGCCAGAGACGAAGAGGCGCCGUUGGUUGUUGAUAAUUUGCGAAUUCACACGCCCAAGAAUCAUACCAGAGAUAUUCAUAUUCUUAGCUCUGCGUUUUUGCUCGUCUUCCUCGCCUAUGGAGCUGCUCAGAAUCUGGAGACUACAGUCAAUACUGAACAGGGGUUGGGUACAAUUUCGCUGGGGAUAUUGUACCUCUCUUUCACAUUUUUCUCUUUGGUUUCGUCUUUGGUGGUUCGGUUUUUGGGGUCAAAGAAUGCUAUGGUUCUUGGGACUACUGGUUACUGGUUGUUCAUAGCUGCUAAUUUGAUGCCUACUUGGUAAUCAGCCACUAUAUUGUUGAAAACUGGUAGUAUCCCAUUUUUGUUCUUGCAUUUGCAUUUUUGCUCCACUUUUAUGUUGACAUUUUCUUUCCCAUAUCUGAAAUGAAGAAGCUGAGAAGUUAUGCUGUAAAGGUGUCUGAGAAGCAACCUUAUUGGCGAAUGGUUAAACAUAUCUUGUAUAGUUUUCAUCCUAAUAUAAUCUAAAAAAUUUCUAUGAUUUGUUUUAUAUAUCCUCGAAAGUUUGAUGAAUAUUUUAUAAUGUACUGGCUUUUGGUGGUUUGAAGCAAUUGGUUAAAGCAAAUUCAAGAGCUGAUUAGGAUUUGAUUAUGUGUGUAUAAAAUUAAAUAUGAAGCUCUUAAAAUAAAUCAGUUAUCUUCAACUACUGGAAAUAACUGACUGAAUUCUUUGAUUGAAUCUUCCUAAUUCCUGCUAGUGCUUUACCAUUAAACUUUUCUUCUCUAGGUAUACAAUGGUACCAGCUUCUUUGUACCUUGGAUUUGCAGCUUCAAUUAUAUGGGUUGGACAGGGUACAUAUCUCACUUCCACUGCACGCAGUCAUGCAUCAGAUUACCGCUUACUUGAAGGAACUGUUAUUGGUGACUUCAACGGAGAAUUUUGGGGAAUGUUUGCAAGCCAUCAGUUUGUUGGAAAUCUCAUUUCGCUUGCUAUUCUGAGAGAUGGAACGGAAGGAAGAACGAGUGGCACAACAUUAUUGUUCAUUGUGUUUCUUUGCAUUGUGACCUUAGGAAUCAUACUAAUGUGCUUCUUAAGUAAAAGGGAUGCCAAAAGAGAGGAAGGACUAGAAAAUUCUUCUGUCAACAUAUGUUCUUCUCUGAUAUCACUGUCGAAGUCAGUUAUCACUCCUUUGCUUGACAUUCGGAUGAUACUGGUCAUUCCCCUGAUUGCAUAUUCAGGAUUACAACAAGCAUUUGUAUGGGCUGCAUUCACCAAGGAUAUUGUAACUCCAGCAAUUGGUGUGUCUGGUGUUGGUGGUGCAAUGGCAGUGUAUGGUGCCUUUGAUGCCAUAUGUUCACUCACUGCUGGUCGACUUACAUCUGGUCUUCCAUCAAUCACAUGGAUAGUAUCUGCUGGAGCUUUUCUUCAUGCUGUUGUAUUUCUCUGGAUUCUGCUAAAAUACAGUUUAGCCAGUGGAAUACUUGGUGUCAUGUACCCACUUCUCAUGGCAGCUAUGUUGGGCAUUGGUGACGGAGUAUUAAAUACACAGCUUAGUGCUUUGCUUGGAAUACUUUUCAAGCAUGAUAUGGAAGGAGCAUUCGCGCAACUCAAGGUCUGGCAAAGUGCUUCCAUUGCAGUCGUGUUCUUCGUUAACUCCUACAUUUCGAUGCACGCGCUGGUGGUGAUUAUGCUUGCAGGACUGCUUAUUUCGGUUGCUGGAUUCUUAUUUUUAACUCUCAAGAUAGAGAAAGCUUUCUCCUCUCUAAGUUCAUGAUACUUUGCAAGCACCAUUGUUGCAAGGAAAAAGAUCAAUCAAAGUCGUGCAUUCUCAUUACCAUACUGCAACUUCCUGUAAAAUUCAUCAAAUUCCUUGUCUCGUCUUUAUAACAUGCUUCUUUGAAAAUUGAAAUUUAUUGCAAUUUUAAUUUAUAUAAAUAUAUAAACUGUGGAGCCUUUUCCCUUUGACACGUGCACCAAUCUAGACACUUGAAUCAAGAGUGGUUCUCCUGUCAAACCGAACUCGUUAGUUUACUCCUCCAAGCGUGCCCAACUACGCACCAAAUAUCCCUCAACAAAAGUAGUUGAGAUUAGGUUAGGUCAGUUCAGGGUCAGGUAGUUCUCUACUCCAAUUAUAUAAACACCCACUUACACUUUUCAAUAAACAUCUGGUCUACAAUUUCUUCAGAAUGUCUCUCACUUUCUUUGCCUCUCUGCGCCAUCGGGUUUCAAUGCGUUUUCCUCUUCUGCUAUACGCCGCCACAUGGACUGCGCUUCUGACGACGAUAGUGGCCGUGGCUUCUUUCUCGCCGGAGAUUGCUUUUGUAUCAGCGAUAUCUACGUCGUCGUCGUUUUCGCGGAAGUGCGAAGUAGAGGGAACCGUUAGAGUUCCGGUGGACUUUCCGGGAGAGAUUGUGUGCUUGCCGGCUCAACUGUUCGUGAAAUCAAAGAUUGAUUUGAUUGUUCCUCCAGUUUUCGCGGCCGUUGUGGUGGCUGGGUCUGCUUGGGUGGUUCGAGCAAUAGGCUUUCUGGGAUGACCAUGAGGCCCGUUGAGUUUUUUUUUUUUAA
rnacentral:misc_RNA from 1 species